UACGAAGGUGGCUAGCGUUGUUCGGAAUUACUGGGCGUAAAGCGCGCGUAGGCGGUUUUGCAAGCCAGAGGUGAAAUGCCUGAGCUCAACUUAGGAAUUGCCUUUGGGACUGCGAGGCUUUGAGGACGGGAGAGGUGAGUGGAAUUCCCAGUGUAGAGGUGAAAUUCGUAGAUAUUGGGAAGAACACCGGUGGCGAAGGCGGCUCACUGGCCCGUUUCUGACGCUGCAGCGCGAAAGCGUGGGGAUCAAACAGG
rnacentral:rRNA from 1 species